rnacentral:sRNA from 1 species
ACAUAGCCCUGAUUGUAAUGGAAAUCCUUUUUUGCGUUUACUUUCGGAUGUUUUGAUUGACUAAAUGUGAUGCAAAAAAAUAUUGCAGCGAAAAGCAGAUUCCCGG